GGGCCCAUCCUAACUUUAGUGUCAAGCCUGUCCUGACCUCCAUGACAACUGACGUCUGACAUCCAUCCAGCAUCUACAGACAACUGGACGUCUGAAUUUGUCAACCUCCAACUUCAACUAUAGACAUACUUCAGCCUUCAUCGAUCUUAUCUCUUGAGCGUAGUUGACUCCAACCGCUUCUUCCCUUCGACACCUGUCUCCAUCAGACUAUGUCAAAGUUCCAAUAAGAGAAGCCAAUCCAAUCCAAUUCACACCCUUAUUUCAAUUUUCAAAGACACCCACGAUGGU
rnacentral:lncRNA from 1 species